CGGCGACGACCCACCCCCGUCCUCCACCCGUGCAGUUUUCGAAAUCCCGCACCCCACCCCCCGACGCCCCGUCGCGCCGCCGCCGGAUCCCAUCGUCCCCCACCCAGGCACCCCUCCCGCCGCCGGUUCCUGUCGCGCCACUCGCCAUCCGACGCCGUCGGGGGCAGGUUGUGGUGCGGCCGCCGCGGGGGUCCUGGUUGUCGCGUGACCGCCCGCGCCCGCCGGGGUGAGGUGGUCGCCGCCGCCGGGAAGGCUUCCGACCUCGACGCGCACCAUUGACCGCCCCCCCCCCUCCCCCUCCUGUCCCGGUGGUGCUUCUAGCCGACCGCCGUCAGGGACUGGCUGCCAGCCUGCCACGCACCUCCUGGUACGAGUCCGCCCUCGUCGUUCCGAGCUGCGCAAGUCGCGCACUGAUCCCGGCACCGUCGCCCCCAGAUCAGUACCUGCCGCCGCCGUUGCCGUCGACCGCCGGCCGGAUUCCAGCUGCGAUCCGCGCGGGAACUCAUCCAUCGGCAACAAGUUGAUUCCAUGGCGGAUCCGAUUUAGUUCCCCAUGGUGCCGGGGGCAAUACAAGGUCAAGCUCGCAGGAUCUGAAGCGGUCGCCGCCCUCUCCCUCCGAGAUUUCUCAUUCGACGCGCUUGUCACGUUUGGCGGUGGAGCCCUGAUCUCUUUUGACUGUGGAGAUCGAAUUUCUAUGCUGGUUAAUUGCAGCCUUGCAGGCAACAAAGCAUGAGAACACCAGGAUCGAUGGUCAUGUGGCCGAUCACAGCCGAGACAACACCGCCGUCGUCGUGGCGUUGAUAUCCAUUAGCUGGGUGCAGGAGAGGUUGCCGAGGAGCAGCUUCUGAUGUGCCUCCUUCUGUCCAGGCAGGUAUAUGUAUUCUUUAUUUUUGCGGUUUUUCUAAGAACUUAGAGAAUUAUGCACCAGUUUAAUAGGUAUGUGCAAAUUAAUGUUACCUGGAUUGCUUUUAUCCGUGAAAAUGAAUACACAUUGAUGUUAGGAUUGAUCUCGUCCGACUCGGUCGUUGGACCGAGUUGGAGUCCUUGAUCGCGCCCUGAUCGGGGGCGCCCAACCGAGAUGUGGUUGGUGGGCUCUCGUCGCGCAGCGCUAUAUAGAAGAGGUGGGGGCCGCAGGGGCACAAAUGCCAAAGUUCGCCGUGUCCCCUGACCCACCGACAAACCCUAAUCCAAUCUAGGGAGUGCUGUGAGCGAUAGGAAGUGCCGCCGCAUUCUGCACCGCGCCUCCAUCGUCGACCCCUUCACUGACACCACAUCUGCGCCCCGACGCCGGCGUCCUCGACCACCGACGUCGUCCACGCCGCCACUACUGCAUCCUCAACGUCGGCGUCCUCGACCACCGACGUUGCUCCCGCCACUGCGACACCGUCACCGUCGCCAUGGCAAGCUCCUCCACCAAGCCCGAAGCAAUUGGUCAGAGUGAUGGAGCUGCACCUCCCGCUCACGGAGAGGACGACAUAGGGUGUCACAGGUCUCUCCUUCACCAGGUGCAAGUAGCUGGAAGGUUCCCCUCGACGUUGUAUUUUGUGGUUGGGUGUCGAGGAUCUAAUAUUUUUAUGUGAGCAAUCCGUCAUGUUUUAUUGUUAUGCAGCAUUGUUUUUUCUUUUUGCAAGCAAUAGAUGGCUGUAUAUUGACCAAAUUUAUAGCGACAGAAGUGCUAUUGUUGAAGAUAUGUUUACUUUUUUCUAUCAUGAUUAUUAGUGAAUGCUGCUUAACACA